CCACAGAUGCCACCCCCACCUUCCCUCUUCCAAAACAUUAUCAACAGACACCCCACCUCCCUCUUCAAACAAUUAUCACACAGAGGCACCCCCACCUCCCUCUUCAAAACUUUAUCCACAGGCACCCCACUCCCUCUUCAAAACAUUAUCACACAGAGGGCACCCCCACCUCCCUCUUCAAAACAUUAUCACACAGACACCCCCACCUCCCUCUUCAAAACAUUAUCACACAGAGGCACCCCCACCUCCCUCUUCAAAACCUUAUCACACAGAGGCACCCCCAUCCUCCCUCUUCAAAACCUUAUCACACAGACACCCCACCGCCCCUCUUACAACAUUAUCACACAGGCGGCACCCCCACCUCCCUCUUCAAACAUUACUCACACAGACAACCCCCACCUCCCUCUUCAAACACAUUAUAACACAGAGGCACCCCCCACCUACCUCUCAAAACAUAUCACACAGACACCCCCCCCUCCCUCUUUCAAACAUUAUCACAACAGAGGCCCCCCCCACCCUCCCUCUUCAAAAACAUAUCACCAGACACCCAACCUCCCUCUUAAAACAUUAUCACACAGAGGCACCCCACCUCCCUCUCCAAAAAUUAUCACACAGAGGCACCCCCCACCUCCUUCUCAAAAAACAUUUAUCACCCAGACACCCCACCCUCCCUCUUCAAAACAUUAUCCCACAGACACCCCCCCCCUCCCUAUUCAAACCUUAUUCACACAGGGACCCCCAACCCCUUUCCAAAACAUUAUCACACCGUACACCCCCACCCUCCCUCUCAAAAUAUUAUCACACAGAGGCACCCCAACCUCCCUCUUCAAAACCUUAUCACACAGACACCCCCACCUCCCUUUCAACACAUUAUUCACACAGACACCCCCACCUCCCUCUUCAAAACAUUUAUCCACACAGACCACCCCCACCUCCUCUUCCAAUAUUAUCACCAUGUCCUCCACCUCUCUCUCUUUUUUCUUUCUUUCUCUUCUGUGUGUCCUCAUCACUCUGUUCUCCAUCACUCGUUUCUCCAUAACUCUUGUUUACUCCAUUCACUCUGUUC
rnacentral:lncRNA from 1 species